AUUGAACGCUGGCGGCAGGCCUAACACAUGCAAGUCGAGCGGAGCGGCGGACGGGUGAGUAAUGCCUAGGAAUCUGCCUGGUAGUGGGGGAUAACGUCCGGAACCGGGCGCUAAUACCGCAUACUCUCAGCAUCGCCUAGGUCGGAUUAGCUAGUUGGUGGGGUAAAGGCCUACCAGGGCGACGAUCCGUAACUGGGCUGGGUGGAUGAUCAGUCACACUGGAACUGAGACACGGUCCAGAAUCCUACGGGAGGCAGCAGUGGGGAAUAUUGGAAAAUGGGCGAAAGCCUGAUCCAGCCAUGCCGCGUGUGUGAAGAAGGUCUUCGGAUUGUAAAGCACUUUAAGUUGGGAGGCGUUACCAACAGAAUAAGCACCGGCUAACUUCGUGCCAGCAGCCGCGGUAAUAC
rnacentral:rRNA from 1 species